rnacentral:lncRNA from 1 species
AGCAUCACUUUUGUCUGAUGAUGUCACUACACAAAGUCACAUGGUGACCCUGAGGCAGACAAGCCAGUUGGUGCACAGGAAUGGAGCUGACAUGCCUUGUUCUUCAACCCCCUGAAGCAUUUUCAGAUCAUACCUAUUUCAGAAGGCUGGAAGUGAACCCAGCAAGAGGCUUCUGUGUUGAUAAGUCUUUGUAUCAAAAUUGACCUGACUGGGAAUUUCUUAGCAAACUUUUCAAACAAGAGAAGGACAUUCUCUUAGAUAUGUGAUGUGAGUGAGGAUUAAAUGACCUGAUAGAAAAUGUAAACUACUUUUAAAUAAUUUAUGGAGUUGCUGUCAUCAUUAAAACCACAGAGAUUUAUCAACUCUCAUUUCCGAGUAAGAUUUGAAGGAAUAGAUUUGUAGUCUUGAGAUGGGACAGGGCACCAAGAAUGAAUACUUACGAUUCAAAGCCACAAACAACUUUGUCUCAGAUGGUGUUCCUAGAUUUUGCUUCCAAGUGUAAAUUUCUGGCUAUAGCAAAGAUGGUAGCAAGUAAGUGAUCAUUUCACCUCUUUCCAAACUCCCUACUUUUUUGCACAUGUCAGAUGCAACCUCAGGUUUAUAACUUUAAUUUUAAUAUCCAUCUCAAGCUAACCCAGUUUCCUGGAAAUAAAUGCCUACAAAAAGAAAAAAAACUUUUAAAGAAAAAUACAAUGAGGCUGCUUGUGGGAAGGGA